rnacentral:sRNA from 1 species
ACCUUUUUUGGGAGAAAAUAGGUGUAAGUGUUGUAUGAACACUCCUUAUCUAUCUCUAACUCUUAUAAUUAGUCAAAUGCAUUGGAUUGUGACACAUUUUGAUCAUAGAAAAACUAACAAAGCCAUUUACUGAUUUUAAGCAAUUUUUUGUUGUUUUAUCCUCUUUUGAGAGAAACUUGAUAUAAGUGUUGUCUAAACUCUUCUUAUCCAUCUUUAACUCUUAUAAUUAGUCAAAUACAUUAGAUUGUGACACAUUUUGACCAUAAAAACACUAACAAAACUUUUUACUGCUUCUAAGCAAUAUUUUGUUGGUUUUAGCCUCUUUUGGGAGAAAAUGGUUAUAAGUAUUACCUAAACACUCUUAUUCUAUCUCUAACUCUUAUAAUUAGUCAAAUGCAUUGGAUUCUGACAAAUUUUGACAAUAGAAACACUAACAAAGCUAUUUACUCCUUCUAAGCAAUUUUUUGUUGGUUUUAGCCUCUUUUGGUAGAAAAUGGGUAUAAGUGUUGUCUAAACACUCCUAAUCCAUCUUUAACUCUUACAC